CACUGAACUGUGAGUCAAAAUGUUGGGUUGAGAUCUGGCACUGACUGGCUGACACCCUGGGUCUGCCAUUUGUCCUCUCUUGAGCCACCAGCACAACACAAUGUACUUGAUGAAAGAUGCCACUGUAAACCUGAAAGGCUUUUGCGAGGUAAGACAAGCAAAUUUGAGAAAAGAGCCUUGUCUUCUAGGCUCUCCAGGGCCACCUCAAAGGCUUUGUCUAAGCUGAAGGCCAUGUAUGAAAUGCAUUCCAAGAUUUCUCAACGAACUUAAAACAGGACUAUCAUUUGACCCAGCAAUCUCUUUACUGGAAACCAACUGUAGGUACAUGGACCUUCUCAAUUUCUCUUAUAAGCAGAAGAGGACUGGGAUGUACCCUUUGGCUUCCAUGGUGGUCCAGCCUAGAGCUGUUUUCCCUAUUGUACACAGAAGAUAGUUUUCUUCUCUAAAUGUUGGGAAACCUCUUCCUUUCCUACUAUGGCAAAAGUGUGAGGCAGCCCCCAACCAGGAGGAGGUGUGGCUGCAGGCAGCAGGUAGAACCAAAGUCAGU